ACCACACGGUUGCGCAUUUGGCCUGAUGGUGGCACGAGUCAAAGUCAUUGGACCGCAAGGCCACAUUGGCGGAGACAUUCAAGUACACCCACACGCUGAAGGAUAACAAAGCGAGAUUUGUUAAUCAACGAUCUCAUGACCAUUAUAAGUCCUACACACAGAGACUAGAGGCCGUGACUCAAUAGUCUCAGCAAAGCUUAUGGCUCUGCGGCUUUAGUCGUCAACCCUGAUGCGGUUUGGCGCAAGACCGCCUCAGCCCCAUACAAAAACCAUGUAUAUGGGAUAAAGUCAUUCUUCGCCAGCAGUCUCCCACCUUGACAUUGAGGUCGUCGUCAGGCUCCGCCACUAGUCAAGCCAUCCAACCUGAGGAAGGCGUGGAUUUGAGGCUGUAAGUACAGGAGCUCCAGCGCAGCCUUCACUAGCAGGCUCAGGAGCUUAACGAUUAUCGGGAGAGGUAUCAAGAGAUCCUCACCUGCGUGACAUCUAUAGAUGAGCUCAGGCUGGGGUUUAGGGAGUCGCUGGAGUAGAUGCAGGCCUAGAUGUGCACCGCUGGCAUCAACCUUGCUGGUGGCAGCGGUCCUACUGGUGGCACAUGGACAUCGUCACCGCCUUCUGUGCUGCCGACUCAGGGUUACGGGACUGACGACGACUACUACUUGGAUCUGUAGAUAUUAGUUUUUUAUUUUAUUGUAUUUAUUU